rnacentral:rRNA from 1 species
GAGUGAAAUAGAUCCUGAAACCGUAUGCGUACAAGCAGUGGGAGCCUACUUUGUUAGGUGACUGCGUACCUUUUGUAUAAUGGGUCAGCGACUUAUAUUCUGUGGCGAGCUUAACCGUAUAGGGGAGGCGUAGCGAAAGCGAGUCUUAACUGGGCGACCAGUCGCAGGGUAUAGACCCGAAACCGGGCGAUCUAUCCAUGGCCAGGGUGAAGAUUGAGUAACAUCAAUUGGAGGCCCGAACCCAAGUAUUUUGAAAAAUGCUGGGAUGAGCUGUGGAUCGGAGUGAAAGGCUAAUCAAGCCCGGAGAUAGCUGGUUCUCCUCGAAAGCUAUUUAGGUAGCGCCUCACGUAUCACCGCUGGGGGUAGAGCACUGUUUCGGCUAGGGGGUCAUCCCGACUUACCAAACCGAUGCAAACUCCGAAUACCUACAAGUGCCGAGCAUGGGAGACACACGGCGGGUGCUAACGUCCGUCGUGAAAAGGGAAACAACCCAGACCGUCAGCUAAGGUCCCAAAGUCAUGGUUAAGUGGGAAACGAUGUGGGAAGGCAUAGACAGCUAGGAGGUUGGCUUAGAAGCAGCCACCCUUUAAAGAAAGCGUAAUAGCUCACU